rnacentral:hammerhead_ribozyme from 32 species
CUCGUCCGAUGCGUGUCGGACCUGAUGAGUCGGAAACGACGAAAGCAGAAA